rnacentral:rRNA from 1 species
GUAAACGAUGCUCGCUAGGUGUCAGGCAUGGCGCGACCGUGUCUGGCGCCGCAGGGAAGCCGUGAAGCGAGCCACCUGGGAAGUACGGCCGCAAGGCUGAAACUUAAAGGAAUUGGCGGGGGAGCACAACAACGGGUGGAGCCUGCGGUUUAAUUGGACUCAACGCCGGACAACUCACCGGGGGCGACAGCAAUAUGUAGGCCAAGCUGAAGACUUUGCCUGAAUCGCUGAGAGGAGGUGCAUGGCCGUCGCCAGUUCGUACUGUGAAGCAUCCUGUUAAGUCAGGCAACGAGCGAGACCCGUGCCCACUGUUACCAGCAUGUCCUCCGGGACGAUGGGUACUCUGUGGGGACC